rnacentral:rRNA from 1 species
AUGAACGCUGGCGGCGUGCCUAAUACCUGCAAGUCGAGCGAACGGACGAGAAGCUUGCUUUUCUGAUGUUAGCGGCGGACGGGUGAGUAACACGUGGAUAACCUACCUAUAAGACUGGGAUAACUUCGGGAAACCGGAGCUAAUACCGGAUAAUAUUUUGAACCGCAUGGUUCAAAAGUGAAAGACGGUCUUGCUGUCACUUAUAGAUGGAUCCGCGCUGCAUUAGCUAGUUGGUAAGGUAACGGCUUACCAAGGCAACGAUGCAUAGCCGACCUGAGAGGGUGAUCGGCCACACUGGAACUGAGACACGGUCCAGACUCCUACGGGAGGCAGCAGUAGGGAAUCUUCCGCAAUGGGCGAAAGCCUGACGGAGCAACACCGCGUGAGUGAUGAAGGUCUUCGGAUCGUAAAACUCUGUUAUUAGGGAAGAACAUAUGUGUAAGUAACUGUGCACAUCUUGACGGUACCUAAUCAGAAAGCCACGGCUAACUACGUG